rnacentral:rRNA from 1 species
AACGAACGCUGGCGGCGUGCCUAACACAUGCAAGUCGAACGUGAUUAGAGAGCUUGCUCUCUAUGAAAGUGGCGCACGGGUGAGUAACGCGUAGAUAAUCUACCUGAUGAUUCGGGAUAACACUUCGAAAGGGGUGCUAAUACCGGAUAAGCCCACGGAGUCCUUGGACUCUGCGGGAAAAGGGGGGGAUCGCAAGACCUUCCGUCAUCAGAUGAGUCUGCGUACCAUUAGCUCGUUGGUAGGGUAAAGGCCUACCAAGGCGACGAUGGUUAGCUGGUCUGAGAGGAUGAUCAGCCACACUGGAACUGAGACACGGUCCAGACUCCUACGGGAGGCAGCAGUGGGGAAUUUUGCGCAAUGGGGGAAACCCUGACGCAGCAACGCCGCGUGAGUGAUGAAGGCCCUUGGGUCGUAAAGCUCUGACAGAGGGAAAGAAAUGCAGGGGAGCUAAUAUCUCUUUUGCUUGACGGUACCCUCAAAGGAAGCACCGGCUAACUCCGUGCCAGCCGCCGCCGUAA